UACAGAGGUCCCGAGCGUUGUUCGGAUUCAUUGGGCGUAAAGGGUGCGUAGGUGGCGCUGUAAGUGGGGUGUGAAAUCCCGGGGCUUAACCCCGGGACUGCAUUCCACACUGCGGUGCUUGAGGACUGGAGAGGAGACUGGAAUUUACGGUGUAGCGGUGAAAUGCGUAGAUAUCGAGAGGAACACCAGAGGUGAAGACGGGUUGCUGGGCUGACACUGACGCUGAGGCGCGAAAGCCAGGGGAGCAAACGGG
rnacentral:rRNA from 1 species